ensembl:misc_RNA 7SK 7SK RNA
GGAUGUGAGGGCGAUCUGGCUGAGACAUCUCUCAUCCCAUUGAUUGCCAGGUUGAUUUGGCUGUUCUGGCUGGUGAGGCAGGUGUUGCUUUACUUGCUCACUGUUCCAUGUUUGGUCCCUCCUGAAGCUGCAUGCUCAGUCAAAGAAGACAAUGACCACUCUCAAUAGAGGAAAACAGGUUCUUCAGUCCGGGGAUAUAUGAGAGCUGUGCUCCCGUGCCAGAACCUUCAAACAAGCUGUCAAAGUGAAACCCUGACUCCAAAACAAAAAAAGACUAAGAUGAACUAGAGGAUCUUUGACAAGCUCUUUAUCCUACAAAGAACUAACUUUUUUGGGGGGGUUUUUUU